UACGGAGGAUGCGAGCGUUAUCCGGAUUUAUUGGGUUUAAAGGGUGCGUAGGCGGGAUGCCAAGUCAGCGGUCAAAUACGGGGGCUCAACCCCAUCCAGCCGUUGAAACUGGGUGCCUUGAGUGGGCGAGAAGUAUGCGGAAUGCGUGGUGUAGCGGUGAAAUGCAUAGAUAUCACGCAGAACCCCGAUUGCGAAGGCAGCAUACCGGCGCCCUACUGACGCUGAGGCACGAAAGUGCGGGUAUCGAACAGG
rnacentral:rRNA from 1 species